AGCAGGUUGGCAGAUUAGUGCAAUUGAUUUAGGAUCAAUAUAUAGGGCUUACCCACCCCUACCUGCUA
rnacentral:tRNA from 1 species